rnacentral:misc_RNA from 1 species
AGCAGAGAAACAGCCCCUAAUCCAAACUCCAUCUAGAAAACCACACCUUAAGCAGUCAUAGAACUUUCCAAGGUACAAAAGAACAGCAUCCUUGCUAUUUCUCCUAGACUCGAAGUAUUAUCUGAAAUUUCUAUUAUGGACAUGGAAAAGCAGAGGAUAUUUCUCCUUCUAGUAUCAUCAACUACUUUUAUUCUCCACUUUGAAGAGCAAAGAAGAGAGAAUAGAAACAAACAGAAGGCCCAGAGGAGAAGGAAAGAAAGGAGAAAGAGAAGAGAAAAAAAAAUACAGUAGAUCAUGCGUUGUAGAUAUUAUCAAAACAAACUCCUAAAAAGAUACUAUGGUGUUCCUUUCACAGGCACCACACCAAUCAUAGAAACAGAUGAAUGAAAUGAAAGAUAUUACACAAGGUUUUUACUCUAUGUCAAGGGUCCCACAUCUAAGAAAUAUCAAGUCUAAAGGGCUGGCCAACUAACUAAUUUGUUAGUUCUAAUCUUUUAGCAAUGGUUAAUCCAAGCAUAGGUAAGCCCAAGACCUCUAGCCUAUUCAUUCAUCUCCACCCUCUCAAUUAAGUAAUGUGGUAUCACAGCAGAUUAGGUCUGGUUACAAGUUCAAAAGCUGGUUUUGCUAUUCCUUUUUACAGCUAGAAGAGCAUUUGGUUCUUCAAUUAUUUUCUUGAUCCUAAGUAUUUCAUCAGACCCAGGCCAGCAUCACCAGCUUGGCCAUUCAGAUUGGGAAAGCCAGGAACCACCGCAGCAUCUUAUUCAGUUUGCAAUUAAGACCAUUUUUCCAUAACAAGGACCCGUGCAUGAACUAGCUGGGUAACCAAUGAAUUGGUCAACCUGGUCACAGAUCAAGUGGCCUGGGCAAUCAGAAGCUUUCACACUGCCCUCCUGGAAUGGGAAAAGAAAAUGCAACAUGCUAAUUUUACAUUUUGUCUUUUCAAAAGUUUUAGUUGAUCCAUACUUCUAUAUAUAGCAUAGA